rnacentral:rRNA from 1 species
CCCAGGAUCCACAAGUGGCAACCGCUUUUAUUUGGCCUAAAGCGUCCGUAGCUGGUUUUGUAAAUCUUCUGUGAAAUUUCGUGGCUUAACCACGAAGCGCGCAGGAGACACUGCAUGACUUGGGACCGGGAGGCGUGAGGAGUAUUUUUGGGGGAGCGGUAAAAUGUUAUAAUCCCAAAAGGACUACCUGUGGCGAAGGCGCCUCACGAGAACGGAUCCGACAGUGAGGGACGAAAGCUAGGGGAGCAAAACGG